UAAAGACACCUUAAACCAAACAAAUGAACAUCACCAGAUCAAAUACAAAAUGAAAAAUAUCAGCGUGCACCAAUCUAUAGCCAUUUCCUGAUUUGGGUGACUUGUUUAGGCAUGCAUUUGCUAGCCACCAAAGUUAUAAUUCAGGAUGGAUCCCAUAAAUCAGUCUCAAUUCUACUAAAAAAUUCUGAUGCCAAGAAUCAGAGUUCGAUGAAAGAAGAUAUUGCGCCUAUGAGCCAUACACAAAGACAUCGAUCCAAUUCCAGAUCACCAUAAGUAACUACAUAAAGGCAUAAUCAACUAAAUCACAAAGAAAAAUAACAGACCGGAAUCAAAGCGGGAAAAAAAAUAAACAACGAAUGGUAUUAAGCCCCAAAUCAGCUAGUAAUUCAAGAGAAAUGGAUAUAUCUGAGGGUUUUGCAUUUACAGUCUCGAAAGACGAUAUUGUCUCCCCUUUGUGAGAGAACGAAAAUCUGUGAGAUCAUGGCGGCGAGUAGUAGACCCGCUAACGUCGAGCUUCGAAAGAGGAAUAGCAGAGAUAUCUGAAUUUCAGUUCCAUGAUAUUCGAUAUGACUGCGUCUUCCCCUUUGUUUUCUUUUAGCUUAAAGGGGAAAUAUCUGUAUAAGUCAUCGAGCUUAUACUGUUCAAAUACGGUGCAUCUCAAAAAUCCCAGAGGCAUGGCGUGUUUGAUAACAGGAACCAACCAAAUGAACUCAAAAUUGGAAGGUACUGAAGAACAGUAAACUAGAUUUACUUAAGAAGUUCAUGAUUUCGAUAUUUG
rnacentral:lncRNA from 1 species